GCUUAUGCUGGCGAUUAAUGAGCCUUUUCGCUUGCCAUAAGAGUUUUGCAGCGUUAACGUUCACAGGCUGAGAGCGCGCGCGCUCCCGACAGUCCGCAGUAGAUGCAUCAGAAUGGAGAGGACCAGAGAGACGAUGCUGCGUCACAAACCGGAGGAUUUUCAAACCGUGGCUUUAUAUCUGCUCCUAAUCCAUCAUGAUUUAAAUAAAGAAAUACUCAAACACGCCGUCUGGCUCAGAGGGUCACGGUGAACGGGAUCAACCAGCAACAUCAGAGACGAUGCAGAAACUGGCUUUGAUUGAAGACAGUAAGAUUUAUUGACAUUGCUCAGAAAGCACAAUUUGUAGAUGAACAGAAAUAAAAGUGCUGCUCUCUGGGAGCCAAAGAUGGACUUGGUAGAGUUUUGGAAGCAGCUGCUUGUGUCUGCAGUCCCAACAAAGCUCAUUUACGCUGAACCUGUGAGAAGGAGGAUGGCAGCUGGAGGGGCUGGAAGGACUGCAGCGACGGCGUGGCUUUCCUGCGCGAGUCUGGAGAGGUCCUGUGGACCGCCAUGGGCAGAAGCUGGUUCCGCUUGAUGAUCUGCAGGGCCAGCUGGGUGUUUCCUAAAAACACACCACCAUUGAUGAAAAGCAGACCGAACGUGGGUCAAAGUACAAUUUAAUGACUAGUGCAGAAAUACACUAGAGCAGGGGUCUGCAGCCUGUGGCUCUCUGGUUAAAGGAAAAUAAACAUUUUUAAAAAGUA